ensembl:lncRNA uncharacterized LOC114862044
GCUAGCAUAUCCAAUGUAUAUAAUCAAAGAACUCCUAACAAGGAAUCAGGGCAAGAACCUGAAUCUGUAUGUCAUAUAUGACAUUGCAUGUGUACUUUCAUCACACAUGCAUGUGAGUAUGUUAUCACUAAAAAUGGGCACAAAUUACUUUUGUCUAAUUUAUUUUUGUUAUUAGUCUUUUGAUACUUUAACAUAAAGGGUUAUACAUAAAACAAUUAUGUUUGAGUUCAGUGUGCUGUAAGUGUCUUCAUAGGUUCUGUACAGUACGAGAAGAUUAAAAGGCUUUGGGCUAACAGAUGGAGAAGGUAUGGAGAGGUUAUGGUCCUUCCUUAGAAGAUUUGCUCGUGUCACAAAAGAGAUGAGUCCAUCCCACCGGCUUGACCUCUUGACUGAAGUACUUCUUUAUUAUGGGAGGAGAAAAUCAGCUGAUAUAGGUUUGGCCAGUUCUUGUAUUUAAAUAGAAAUGUUUGAUAUGCUUAAAAAAUUAAAAUUGUGAAGCUAUUGACAUUUGUUUGUAGAAGUGCAGCUCGAUCACAGAUGGGAAAAAGCAGAGAAGGUCACUAAUCUAGCUAAAGAGGAGUUAGCUGCUGUCUUAAAAGAGGCACCAGACAGUGUUCCCAAAUGGAAGAGGGUGUAUGUGACAACGCUGAUUGAGCUCCAGCAGCUCAAGUAAGACAGUAACUGUUGUACUUUGAAUAUUGCAUCAAUCUAAAUGAAUGAAAGAUUACUUCACUGUAUUUCAUGUUAAAAAAAUGUGACCCCAACAAUAAAUAUGUAAGUAUCUUUCUUUUAAGUGCGUUGCGCUAUGUGAUAGUGAUGCUGCCAGUUUAAACACAACUAUUUUACGAUAUUCCAGUGAACACUGUUAGAGCUCGACCAGGACAUUCGAGGUAAACUGGUCAUGCAGGCACGAACUGAGGCAAGGGAAAGACUUACACUUCUUCAAUUGAAGCGGAAAUACCCAGAUGGACAGGGAAUUGCUGUCAGAUUGUCUAAACAAAUUAAGGCCUGUAACAAGAGACUGAGGAAAACCAUAACAGAUUACAACAGUCUGCAAUGGCCACCACAGACAACCAUCUUCCCACCACAGAUGGAUUUUCAAGAAGCAUGUGAUCCCUUCUGGCCUGUCUACUGUAGCAUUGAUGAAAAUACAGAGGAAGGAGACUUUUCACGAUCCCUCAAAAGACGUGCCAUUGAUGCAUUGCACCUGAAGACCAGGGCUGCUGAGGAGAAGAUCAUGCUUCAGGAUGAAAUGAAGACUUUAAUACAUCAUGUUCAGCAACAACAUGCUUCUUUACACUCAGCUAUUACUAAUACCAAGCAACCUGGCCGAGCUGUUCUUGUUGGCACCAUUAUAAACUUGGAACAGAAACUACAUAAUGCUACCUUGAUGUUCCAGCAACACAUUCCAAGUAUUGCUCCUCUUUCACACGCUUACCUGCCACAGUUGAAUGUAGUCCGCCAGAACGUGAUAUCACCGGAUGUGUACAUGGCUUUAUUCAACGACGAUGAUGAUGAUGAUGAAGAUGGUAAUGAUGAUGAUGAGGAGGAUUGUGAUGAUAGCAUUUAAAGCUAAAAUAAAAUGCAGAUUCAUCCAACA